CUAUUUAUCUAUGUAGAGACAAAUAUUAGGGUUCUCUCUCUGCCUCUCCUUAAUCUCUUAUUCUGAAUUCUUAUCUCCUCUCCCUCUCCUUAAUCACAAUUUGAUUUUAUGAACAUGAAUUAAGGCUUUUCGAUAUGAUGUCGAUUUUGGUUUCAGAGUAUGCAUUCAAUUUGGGGAUUUUAGGUUUAUGUCUUUGAUUAUUCGAGAAAUACGAAGAGCAAAUUGAAAUUCAAGUUGAAGAAGAAGAAGAAAAGUGUUGUGAUACUUCAUAUAUCUGAUACACUAUUUGCAUCAAAUGAAGUAGUUCAGAAGAUUCAUGUUCUUCUCCGUCGUCAUUUAAAAAACUGAUUUCAGAUUUAUUUAUUUUUCGAUAACAACUGAUUUUUAAUGUUUAUGGUAAUGAGAUGGUGAAAUAUUAAGAGCGUCAAUUAGCCUUCGUAAGCUAAGAACUGAUGCCUAAUGCUUAACAUAUUCCAAGUAUUACAAGGGAUUGUUGGCGUCGGCAUUGAUUGUUUGACAUUGCAGUUCGGUAUUCAUCUCUCUUGACAAAAUUGUCCACGUUUUGUUUCCUUCAUUUGUUAUCAUGCAACUACUUAUAGUAUUAUUUAAUGGAUAAAUAAAAUUUGCGAUAUUAUGAUCGAUUGUAUACAAUUAUAUUCCGUGUUAUGCUUUCAAAGAAUCGUUAGUUAUGCAGCCA